rnacentral:rRNA from 1 species
UGCAAGUCGAACGGAAGUCGUUGUAAUGAUAUAGACAUGGACGGAGAACUUGUUCAAAGAAAGUGAAAGUUGACUUACAACAAUGGCUUUAGUGGCGGACUGGUGAGUAACACGUAAGCAACCUGCCUAUCAGAGGGGAACAACAGUUAGAAAUGACUGCUAAUACCGCAUAUGCCUUAGCAACACAUGUUGCAAAAAGGGAAAGGAGCAAUCCGCUGAUAGAUGGGCUUGCGUCUGAUUAGAUAGUUGGUGGGGUAACGGCCUACCAAGUCGACGAUCAGUAGCCGGACUGAGAGGUUGAACGGCCACAUUGGGACUGAGAUACGGCCCAGACUCCUACGGGAGGCAGCAGUCGGGAAUAUUGCGCAAUGGAGGAAACUCUGACGCAGUGACGCCGCGUGCAGGAAGAAGGUUUUCGGAUUGUAAACUGCUUUAGACAGGGAAGAACAAAGACAGUACCUGUAGAAUAAGCUCCGGCUAACUACGUGCCAGCAGCCGCGGUAAUACGUAGGGAGCAAGCGUUAUCCGGAUUUAUUGGGUGUAAAGGGUGCGUAGACGGUAAUGCAAGUUAGUUGUGAAAUCCCUCGGCUUAACUGAGGAACUGCAACUAAAACUACAUUUCUUGAGUAUUGGAGGGGAAAGUGGAAUUCCUAGUGUAGCGGUGAAAUGCGUAGAUAUUAGGAGGAACACCGGUGGCGAAGGCGACUUUCUGGACAAUUACUGACGUUGAGGCACGAAAGUGUGGGGAGCAAACAGGAUUAGAUACCCUGGUAGUCCACACCGUAAACGAUGGAUACUAGGUGUAGGAUGUGAUAAACAUU